CCGAACUUGAAAGGAAGGUGGUCUCUAAAAACUACAUUUCUUCCUUUUCCUAGGUAAUAACCAGAACCAGGCCCUGGUCCUACAGUGAGUUCCCUUUGAAAGAUAGAGCUGCACAGAUCCAGGAUUUCCAAGGACACAAUUAUUGUUAAAAGAGGAAGUGAUCCUACUUCAUAUCAGUGGGGUUCGACAGCUCAACUCUUCUACUGCCUGAAUCACCUGAAUAGUGACUAGUGCCUUCAGGCUGAGUGCUGUGGGGCUAUUCCUGGUGAUGAAGAGGAUGCUGCCCUGUUGUCCUCCUCCUUAGCUCAUCACCCCUUGCUGAGCAGACCACUUGUGAUGAUCCAGGUAGGAAAAAUCUGUCUGAGAUUUCAUUUCUUUCACCUCUGUAUUUUUGAGUGCUUCGUUUGGUUUGUGGU
rnacentral:lncRNA from 1 species